rnacentral:rRNA from 1 species
CAGCUAGUGUUUGGGGGCCACGAGCCGCUCUAGUGCCGCAGGAAGCUGUUAAGCCUGCCGCCUGGGAGUACGGCCGCAAUGGCUGAAACUUAAAGGAAUUGGCGGGAGAGCACCACAAGGGGUAAAGCUUGCGGUUAAUUGGAGUCAACGCCGGAAAUCUCACCGGGAGCGACAUGCAGUAUAAGGCCAGAUUAAAUGGUCUUGCUAGACAAGCUGAGAGGAGGUGCAUUGGCCGUCGCCAGUUCGUGCCGUAGGUGUCCUGUUAGUCAGGAACGAUCGAGACCCGCGUCCUCUGUUGCUACUGGCUUUGUGCCAGGCACACUGUGGUGACCGCCGCUGCUAAAUGCGGAGGAAUGGUGCGGGCCACGGCAUGGUCAUGUAUGCCCCGAAUCUCCCGGGCCACAUCGCGAUGCUGCAAUGGCAUGGCACAAUGGGUUCCGACCUCGUAAUGGGGAAGGCAACUCCCAGAAUAGCCUGCCAGUAUGUCUAGAGGAUUCAGAGAGGUUAGAAACUCACCCUCAGUAGAACAUUGGAAUCCCCUAGUAAUUCGCAGUAGUCAUCUAGCAGCAGCAGGUAGAAUACAGUCCCUAGCUCCUUAGCACAUCACCGCCCAGUCAGUUCCACCCAGAAGUAGAUCUCUUAGAGGUAGAUGGCAGUAGGUCUUACUUGGCUGCGUCAGAAUCUAGAGUUUCGCAAUGGGGGGAAAUGUCGUAACAAUGGUAUGCC